AUACUAUGUGUAGGAUAGGUGGGAGGCUAUGAAACCGAAACGUUAGUUUCGGUGGAGCCAGCCUUGAAAUACCACCCUUACUAUUUUAGGGUUCUAAUUUUGUUCCGUAAUCCGGGCAAAAGACAGUGUUUGGUGGGUAGUUUGACUGGGGUGGUCGCCUCCUAAAGAGUAACGGAGGCUUCUAAAGGUACCCUCAGCACGCUUGGUAACCGUGCGUAGAGUGCAAUGGCAUAAGGGUGCUUGACUGAGAGACAUACAGGUCGAUCAGGUUGGAAACAAGAGCAUAGUGAUCCGGUGGUUCCGCAUGGAA
rnacentral:rRNA from 1 species